rnacentral:rRNA from 1 species
GACGAACGCUGGCGGCGUGCUUAACACAUGCAAGUCGAGCGGUGAAGCCCAGCUUGCUGGGUGGAUCAGUGGCGAACGGGUGAGUAACACGUGAGCAACCUGCCCCUGACUCUGGGAUAAGCGCUGGAAACGGCGUCUAAUACUGGAUAUGUACCACGAUCGCAUGGUCUGUGGUUGGAAAGAUUUUCGGUUGGGGAUGGGCUCGCGGCCUAUCAGCUUGUUGGUGAGGUAAUGGCUCACCAAGGCGU